rnacentral:rRNA from 1 species
CUUGGUCAUUUAGAGGAAGUAAAAGUCGUAACAAGGUUUCCGUAGGUGAACCUGCGGAAGGAUCAUUAUUGAAAAUAAACCUGAUGAGUUGAUGCUGGCUCUCUAGGGAGCAUGUGCACACUUGUCAUCUUUAUAAUAUCUCCACCUGUGCACCUUUUGUAGACCUGGAUAUCUUUCUGAAUGGCUCUGGCCAUUCAGGCUUGAGGAUUGGCUUUCRGUCUUUCCUUGUAUUUUCAGGCCUAUGUUUCUUCAUAUACUCUUAAUGUAUGUUAUAGAAUGUAAACAGGCCUCUGUGCCUAUAAUCUAUACAACUUUCAGCAACGGAUCUCUUGGCUCUCGCAUCGAUGAAGAACGCAGCGAAAUGCGAUAAGUAAUGUGAAUUGCAGAAUUCAGUGAAUCAUCGAAUCUUUGAACGCACCUUGCGCUCCUUGGUAUUCCGAGGAGCAUGCCUGUUUGAGUGUCAUUAAUAUAUCAAUCUCCUCAGCUUUUGCUGUUGAGUUUGGAUGUGGGGGUCUUUUUUUUGCUGGCCUCUUGAGGUCAGCUCCCCUGAAAUACAUUAGCAGAACAACUUGUUUGACUGUUCAUUAGUGUGAUAACUAUCUACGCUAUUGACGUGAGGACAGAGUUCGGCUUCUAACAGUCCAUUGACUUGGACAACUUUUCAUUAAUGUGACCUCAAAUCAGGUAGGACUACCCGCUGAACUUAAGCAUAUCAAUAAGCGGAGGA